AUUGAACGCUGGCGGCAGGCCUAACACAUGCAAGUCGAACGAGUGGCGGACGGGUGUAUAAUGUCUGGGAAACUGCCUGAUGGAGGGGGUUAACUAAUGGAAACGGUAGCAAAACCCGCAUACCAUCGGAUGUGCCCAGAUGGGAUUAGCUAGUAGGUGGGGUAAAGGCUCACCUAGGCGACGAUCCCUAGCUGGUCUGAGAGGAUGACCAGCAAAACUGGAACGGAGACACGGUCCAGACUCCUACGGGAGGCAGCAGUGGGGAAUAUUGCACAAUGGGCGCAAGCCUGAUGCAGCCAUGCCGCGUGUAGGAAGAAGGCCUUCGGGUUGUAAAGUACUUUCAGCGGGGAGGCGUUACCCGCAGAAGAAGCACCGGCUAACUCCGUGCCAGCAGCCGCGGUAAUAC
rnacentral:rRNA from 1 species